UGGGGAAUAUUGGACAAUGGGCGAAAGCCUGAUCCAGCCAUGCCGCGUGUGUGAAGAAGGCCUUUUGGUUGUAAAGCACUUUAAGCGAGGAGGAGGCUACUUAGAUUAAUACUCUAGGAUAGUGGACGUUACUCGCAGAAUAAGCACCGGCUAACUCUGUGCCAGCAGCCGCGGUAAUACAGAGGGUGCGAGCGUUAAUCGGAUUUACUGGGCGUAAAGCGUGCGUAGGCGGCUUUUUAAGUCGGAUGUGAAAUCCCUGAGCUUAACUUAGGAAUUGCAUUCGAUACUGGGAAGCUAGAGUAUGGGAGAGGAUGGUAGAAUUCCAAGUGUAGCGGUGAAAUGCGUAGAGAUCUGGAGGAAUACCGAUGGCGAAGGCAGCCAUCUGGCCUAAUACUGACGCUGAGGUACGAAAGCAUGGGGAGCAAACAGG
rnacentral:rRNA from 1 species